rnacentral:rRNA from 1 species
GACAGAGGUGCCAAGCGUUAGGCGGAAUCACUGGGCUUAAAGCGUGUGUAGGCGGAUCGUUAAGUACCUUGUGAAAUCCCACGGCUCAACCGUGGAACUGCUGGGUAUACUGGCGAUCUUGAGCCACCUAGGGGCGAGCGGAACAAGCGGUGGAGCGGUGAAAUGCGUAGAUAUCGCUUGGAACGCCAAAGGUGAAGACAGGUCGCUGGGGGUGUGCCGACGCUGAGACGCGAAAGCCAGGGGAGCAAACGGG